GUUUUUAUUAACAAACAAAGAAAUACAAAUAAAGACUGGCGCGGUGGCCGAAAACGAUUUAAACUUAAAUAAAAAACACAAACUAACCCGUAGGCGUGUGGCGAUUGCCAGAACUCAAAACACAUGAAACAAAACUAGGUCAAGUUCGUGCAGCGAGUUCACGAAAAUGCCAGCGACCCCGAACGGGCGGAAACUUCCGGCAUUUAUGGGGCAUCAGGAUUAAAGUCAGGUGUGGAGGCCAGCUGCAGGCAAUCCUGACAGAGCCCCCCCUCCAAGGGCUACGUCCUCGGAGCCCCAACAGUACCAUCAGUGGAGGCGGCGGGGUGGACGGCGGCAACCACAGGGCUCCUGCCCUGCUGUAUCCUCCCCUUGGAGGACCCGGUCCCUCGGGCUGGCUCCCCGGCGUGGUCAGGCGUGGCGGCCCCGGUCCCUCGGGCUGGCUCCCCGGCGUGGUCAGGCGUGGCGGCCCCGGUCCCUCGGGCUGGCUCCCCGGCGUGGUCAGGCGUGGCGGCCCCGGUCCCUCGGGCUGGCUCCCCGGCGUGGUCAGGCGUGGCGGCCCCGGUCCCUCGGGCUGGCUCCCCGGCGUGGUCAGGCGUGGCGGCCCCGGACCCUCGGCCUGGCUCCCCGGCGUGGUCCCGCUUGGCGGCCCCGGACCCUCGGCCUGGCUCCCCGGCGUGGUCCCGCUUGGCGGCCCCGGACCCUCGGCCUGGCUCCCCGGCGUGGUCCCGCUUGGCGGCCCCGGACCCUCGGCCUGGCUCCCCGGCGUGAUCCCGCUUGGCGGCCCCGGACCCUCGGCCUGGCUCUCCGGCGUGGUCCCGCUUGGCGGCCCCGGACCCUCGGCCUGGCUCCCCGGCGUGGUCCCGCUUGGCGGCCCCGGACCCUCGGCCUGGCUCCCCGGCGUGGUCCCGCUUGGCGGCCCCGGACCCUCGGCCUGGCUCCCCGGCGUGGUCCCGCUUGGCGGCCCCGGACCCUCGGCCUGGCUCCCCGGCGUGGUCCCGCAUGGCGGCCCCGGACCCUCGGCCUGGCUCCCCGGCGUGGUCCCGCAUGACGGCCCCGGACUCCCGUAUCUGCACACAAUAAUCAGGGCCGAUCCAUCUGGGUACGUGUGGGCCCUGUCUCCACAUGUCCCCUCUGACACAUCUUGUGUCACCCCCUGCACCGCGCAGGG
rnacentral:lncRNA from 1 species